AUGGCUCACGUUUAGCGCCGGCGGUGUGCCUAAUACAUGCAAGUCGUACGCACUGGCCCAACUGAUUGAUGGUGCUUGCACCUGAUUGACGAUGGAUCACCAGUGAGUGGCGGACGGGUGAGUAACACGUAGGUAACCUGCCCCGGAGCGGGGGAUAACAUUUGGAAACAGAUGCUAAUACCGCAUAACAACAAAAGCCACAUGGCUUUUGUUUGAAAGAUGGCUUUGGCUAUCACUCUGGGAUGGACCUGCGGUGCAUUAGCUAGUUGGUAAGGUAACAGCUUACCAAGGCGAUGAUGCAUAGCCGAGUUGAGAGACUGAUCGGCCACAAUGGAACUGAGACACGGUCCAUACCCUUACGGGAGGCAGCAGUAGGGAAUCUUCCACAAUGGGCGCAAGCCUGAUGGAGCAACACCGCGUGAGUGAAGAAGGGUUUCGGCUCGUAAAGCUCUGUUGUUGGAGAAGAACGUGCGUGAGAGUAACUGUUCACGCAGUGACGGUAUCCAACCAGAAAGUCACGGCUAACUACGUGCCAGCAGCCGCGGUAAUACGUAGGUGGCAAGCGUUAUCCGGAUUUAUUGGGCGUAAAGCGAGCGCAGGCGGUUGCUUAGGUCUGAUGUGAAAGCCUUCGGCUUAACCGAAGAAGUGCAUCGGAAACCGGGCGACUUGAGUGCAGAAGAGGACAGUGGAACUCCAUGUGUAGCGGUGGAAUGCGUAGAUAUAUGGAAGAACACCAGUGGCGAAGGCGGCUGUCUGGUCUGCAACUGACGCUGAGGCUCGAAAGCAUGGGUAGCGAACAGGAUUAGAUACCCUGGUAGUCCAUGCCGUAAACGAUGAGUGCUAGGUGUUGGAGGGUUUCCGCCCUUCAGUGCCGGAGCUAACGCAUUAAGCACUCCGCCUGGGGAGUACGACCGCAAGGUUGAAACUCAAAGGAAUUGACGGGGGCCCGCACAAGCGGUGGAGCAUGUGGUUUAAUUCGAAGCUACGCGAAGAACCUUACCAGGUCUUGACAUCUUGCGCUAACCUUAGAGAUAAGGCGUUCCCUUCGGGGACGCAAUGACAGGUGGUGCAUGGUCGUCGUCAGCUCGUGUCGUGAGAUGUUGGGUUAAGUCCCGCAACGAGCGCAACCCUUGUUACUAGUUGCCAGCAUUAAGUUGGGCACUCUAGUGAGACUGCCGGUGACAAACCGGAGGAAGGUGGGGACGACGUCAGAUCAUCAUGCCCCUUAUGACCUGGGCUACACACGUGCUACAAUGGACGGUACAACGAGUUGCAAACUCGCGAGAGCAAGCUAAUCUCUUAAAGCCGUUCUCAGUUCGGACUGUAGGCUGCAACUCGCCUACACGAAGUCGGAAUCGCUAGUAAUCGCGGAUCAGCAUGCCGCGGUGAGUACGUUCCCGGGCCUUGUACACACCGCCCGUCACACCAUGGGAGUUUGUAACGCCCAAAGUCGGUGGCCUAACCUUUAUGGAGGGAGCCGCCUAAGGCGGGACAGAUGACUGGGGUGAAGUCGUAACAAGGU
rnacentral:rRNA from 1 species